AAGGUCACCGCCUUAAUGAAGAUCGUAAACCAUUCACCGUCUUUAUUACUUAUAUUACGAAGACGGUGAGUCGUUCACCGCUUCAGCCUAGAGAUGCCAACAGGUCGGAUUCAGGGCGGAUUUUUAAAAAUCCGAACCCGAACCCGACUCCAAACCCGAGACCCAAACCCGAACCCAAACCCGAACCCGACGGAUUUUAAAAAUCCAUAUCCAAACUCGAACCCGACCAAAAAUCCG
rnacentral:lncRNA from 1 species